rnacentral:rRNA from 1 species
UCAUGGGGUGUGGUGGAAAGCUUUUGCGGUGUGGGAUGGGCCCGCGGCCUAUCAGCUUGUUGGUGGGGUAAUGGCCUACCAAGGCGACGACGGGUAGCCGGCCUGAGAGGGUGUCCGGCCACACUGGGACUGAGAUACGGCCCAGACUCCUACGGGAGGCAGCAGUGGGGAAUAUUGCACAAUGGGCGCAAGCCUGAUGCAGCGACGCCGCGUGAGGGAUGACGGCCUUCGGGUUGUAAACCUCUUUCAGCAGGGACGAAGCGCAAGUGACGGUACCUGCAGAAGAAGCACCGGCCAACUACGUGCCAGCAGCCGCGGUAAUACGUAGGGUGCGAGCGUUGUCCGGAAUUACUGGGCGUAAAGAGCUCGUAGGUGGUUUGUCGCGUUGUUCGUGAAAACUCACAGCUUAACUGUGGGCGUGCGGGCGAUACGGGCAGACUGGAGUACUGCAGGGGAGACUGGAAUUCCUGGUGUAGCGGUGGAAUGCGCAGAUAUCAGGAGGAACACCGGUGGCGAAGGCGGGUCUCUGGGCAGUAACUGACGCUGAGGAGCGAAAGCGUGGGGAGCGAACAGGAUUAGAUACCCUGGUAGUCCACGCCGUAAACGGUGGGUACUAGGUGUGGGUUUCCUUCCUUGGGAUCCGUGCCGUAGCUAACGCAUUAAGUACCCCGCCUGGGGAGUACGGCCGCAAGGCUAAAACUCAAAGGAAUUGACGGGGGCCCGCACAAGCGGCGGAGCAUGUGGAUUAAUUCGAUGCAACGCGAAGAACCUUACCUGGGUUUGACAUGCACA